CUGUAGAGCAUAUGAUCUUUACUGAUGCACCUGCAUCUGGCUCAGACUUAGUCACCCAGCCCUGAAAUUAUAUCAUAUCACAGGUCAUUCUCUGAGUCUCUUAAUGUGAGGCCUUGAGAGAAAAAUCAACAUGCCUUCUGUUGGAUGAAGACCAAUCAGCAAGAUGGUGGUGAUUGUGGUCUGUAACAAUGCAAAAGUCAGAACUGGUUGAAAUGUAAAAUUCAGUCCCCUUUUUAUAGAGUCGUUGCAAGGAUCAAGUGAGUUGAAAUCCGUAAGGUGCUUGGGAGAAUGCCUGGCGCCUGGAAGCACUGUAUAUUCCAAAAAAGGAGAUAUAAACAUGACCAUAAAAGACAUGAAAAGAUGUUUAACCCCAUUAGUCAUCGUGGAAAUGCAAAUGAAAACCACCAUACAGACACUAGAGUGGUUUAAAUUUGAAUGACUUCCAACACCAAAUGCCAGACAGGACAUAGAGCAACUGGAUGUCUCAUGCUCACAGGCAGAAGGGAAAACUACUGUGUGUGACAGGAAGAUGGACUUACCCAACCUUCAGCAUUCUCAAUCUCUUGUCUAUUAACAUGUGUUUGAAACAUUAUGCAUUCAAAGCAAACAUCUGGGAGGAAGAUGGGAGAAGCCUUCUUGCCCCUGUUCUACAGAAGUAAUUGAAGUUCAUGACAUUCAAGCUCAUUCACCAGUAAAUGAAUUUGGGUCAUGCUUUAUGUCUGUUGUAAAUACAGUGAAAAUUUGCCUCUGUUCCUGAA
rnacentral:lncRNA from 1 species